ensembl:snoRNA small nucleolar RNA SNORA2/SNORA34 family
UUGGCCCCAAUCAAGACCAGCAGCUUGUAGUAGCUGUUCGUUUCAACGGGAGCCUAGAUAAACAGCUUCCUGUGGUCUGUUGAUUUGUUUCCCAGAAAACAAAGGAGCUAAUCAAUUCAGUUGGAAGGAACAAAA